rnacentral:rRNA from 1 species
CCUACGGGAGGCUGCAGUGGGGAAUAUUGGACAAUGGGCGAAAGCCUGAUCCAGCCAUGCCGCGUGUGUGAAGAAGGCCUUCGGGUUGUAAAGCACUUUCAGUGGGGAAGAAAGCCUUGGGGCUAAUACCCUCGAGGAAGGACAUCACCCACAGAAGAAGCACCGGCUAACUCCGUGCCAGCAGCCGCGGUAAUACGGAGGGUGCGAGCGUUAAUCGGAAUUACUGGGCGUAAAGCGCGCGUAGGCGGUCUGAUAAGCCGGUUGUGAAAGCCCCGGGCUCAACCUGGGAACGGCAUCCGGACCUGUCAGGCUAGAGUGCAGGAGAGGAAGGUAGAAUUCCCGGUGUAGCGGUGAAAUGCGUAGAGAUCGGGAGGAAUACCAGUGGCGAAGGCGGCCUUCUGGACUGACACUGACGCUGAGGUGCGAAAGCGUGGGUAGCAAACAGGAUUAGAUACCCCAGUAGUC